rnacentral:rRNA from 1 species
AUUGAACGCUGGCGGCAGGCCUAACACAUGCAAGUCGAGCGGAUGAAGGGAGCUUGCUCCUGGAUUCAGCGGCGGACGGGUGAGUAAUGCCUAGGAAUCUGCCUGGUAGUGGGGGAUAACGUCCGGAAACGGGCGCUAAUACCGCACACGUCCUGAGGGUGAAAGUGGGGGAUCUUCGGACCUCACGCUAUCAGAUGAGCCUAGGUCGGAUUAGCUAGUUGGUGAGGUAAAGGCCUACCAAGGCGACGAUCCGUAACUGGUCUGAGAGGAUGAUCAGUCACACUGGAACUGAGACACGGUCCAGACUCCUACGGGAGGCAGCAGUGGGGAAUAUUGGACAAUGGGCGAAAGCCUGAUCCAGCCAUGCCGCGUGUGUGAAGAAGGUCUUCGGAUUGUAAAGCACUGUAAGUUGGGAGGAAGGGCAGUAAGUUAAUACCUUGCUGUUUUGACGUUACCAACAGAAUAAGCACCGGCUAACUUCGUG